rnacentral:rRNA from 1 species
UGGUGGGGUAAAGGCCCACCAAGGCGACGAUCAGUAGCGGGUCUGAGAGGAUGAUCCGCCACACUGGGACUGAGACACGGCCCAGACUCCUACGGGAGGCAGCAGUGGGGAAUUUUGGACAAUGGGGGCAACCCUGAUCCAGCCAUUCCGCGUGAGUGAAGAAGGCCUUCGGGUUGUAAAGCUCUUUCAGCUGGAACGAAACGGUGCGCUCUAACAUAGCGUGCUAAUGACGGUACCAGCAGAAGAAGCACCGGCUAACUACGUGCCAGCAGCCGCGGUAAUACGUAGGGUGCGAGCGUUAAUCGGAAUUACUGGGCGUAAAGCGUGCGCAGGCGGAUUGUUAAGCAAGACGUGAAAUCCCCGGGCUUAACCUGGGAAUGGCGUUUUGAACUGGCAGUCUAGAGUGCGUCAGAGGGGGGUGGAAUUCCACGUGUAGCAGUGAAAUGCGUAGAGAUGUGGAGGAACACCGAUGGCGAAGGCAGCCCCCUGGGAUGACACUGACGCUCAUGUACGAAAGCGUGGGUAGCAAACAGGAUUAGAUACCCUGGUAGUCCACGCCCUAAACGAUGUCAACUGGUUGUUGGGGGAG